CGCCUCCCCACCUCCCUGCCUCUUGGCGUCAUAGGAGGCUCUGCUGCCUGCAGGGCAGAGAGGAGAGGGAGGAGGCCAGCGAGAGGGAGCCUGUGUCGGGGCGUGGGAGGAAAGCAAGAUAACGCAGGCGACCCGAAAAGGACGGUGAAUCUGACUGGCCAGACUGGAAAGGUCUUAUUCUGUCACCCAGGCUGGGGUGCAGUGGCAGGAACAUAGCUUACUCCAUCCUUGACCUCCUGGGAUCAAGCAAUCCUCUAGCCUCAGCCUCCUGAGUAGGUGGGACUACAGAUGCAUACCAACACGCCCAGUGAAGGAAAUGAGUUGUUCUUUCCUCUUUUAUAGGAAUGGGAUGGAAAGGAGGAAGGGCUAUGGUUGCUCUUCGCAUGUUUGUUGUUGUGCUGUUCCGUUCUUCACGCACAUGUCCAUCAGGCUCCUUGUCAACCUUCCAUUCCCCCGGGGUAGGCAUAUUUAUGAGUACCAUGUGCCCAGUGAGCUGGGCCACCCCCCCACCACGUGGUGCCAGACUUGAAUGACCUUGUGCUCUGCAAAUAUAUUGGUUUAUCUGCA